rnacentral:rRNA from 1 species
UGGGGAAUAUUGCACAAUGGGCGCAAGCCUGAUGCAGCCAUGCCGCGUGUAUGAAGAAGGCCUUCGGGUUGUAAAGUACUUUCAGCGAGGAGGAAGGCGUUGUGGUUAAUAACCGCAACGAUUGACGUUACUCGCAGAAGGAGCACCGGCUAACUCCGUGCCAGCAGCCGCGGUAAUACGGAGGGUGCAAGCGUUAAUCGGAAUUACUGGGCGUAAAGCGCACGCAGGCGGUCUGUCAAGUCGGAUGUGAAAUCCCCGGGCUCAACCUGGGAACUGCAUCCGAAACUGGCAGGCUAGAGUCUUGUAGAGGGGGGUAGAAUUCCAGGUGUAGCGGUGAAAUGCGUAGAGAUCUGGAGGAAUACCGGUGGCGAAGGCGGCCCCCUGGACAAAGACUGACGCUCAGGUGCGAAAGCGUGGGGAGCAAACA